GACGAACGCUGGCGGCGUGCCUAAUACAUGCAAGUAGAACGCUGAAGAGAGGAGCUUGCUCUUCUUGGAUGAGUUGCGAACGGGUGAGUAACGCGUAGGUAACCUGCCUUGUAGCGGGGGAUAACUAUUGGAAACGAUAGCUAAUACCGCAUAACAAUGGAUGACACAUGUCCUUUAUUUGAAAGGGGCAAUUGCUCCACUACAAGAUGGACCUGCGUUGUAUUAGCUAGUAGGUGAGGUAAUGGCUCACCUAGGCGACGAUACAUAGCCGACCUGAGAGGGUGAUCGGCCACACUGGGACUGAGACACGGCCCAGACUCCUACGGGAGGCAGCAGUAGGGAAUCUUCGGCAAUGGGGGCAACCCUGACCGAGCAACGCCGCGUGAGUGAAGAAGGUUUUCGGAUCGUAAAGCUCUGUUGUAAGUCAAGAACGGGUGUGAGAGUGGAAAGUUCACAAUGUGACGGUAGCUUACCAGAAAGGGACGGCUAACUACGUG
rnacentral:rRNA from 1 species